AUCGAUCGAGUUUGUAGAAUAUAAACUGACAGAGUCUGCAGGCAAAUUAUCAAUACUUGAUUGAUCGGUUUCAAAGUGGGAAUUUUAUGACAGGUCGAUGACGUAGAUUAAAUGGAAGAAACUUGUGUUGUUGAAUUGCACAUAACACCGCGGAAUUAGGUAUUUUUGUGAGGUAAGUGAAAAUAGCUAUUACUAAAUGAAUGUGAUUGUGACAAAUACACUAAAAAGCGACAAUUCUAUAAGAGUUGAGCUAGUCUAGAUUAUGUUCUAAAUACUGAUUAUCAGUGUAAAGGUCAGAUUAAUUAGGAAGUGAGUUUUUAUGGAUAUACUUUAGAGUAUAAGUAAUUGUUUUAUACUAUCUGGAAUAUGUUUUGUUUAUUGUAUAUAAAGCACACAUAUAUAGUUCCUUUGUUUGAUGAAUGUUUGAACUUCAGACCAAACUAUUAUAGUUUGUUCACAUCUGCAAAUUAUUGUUAUAAGGAUAAAUCAAGUUUAAUUGUACGCAACUUUUCAUUAUUUUCAGGAUGCAAAGAAAUGAUCAAUUGAGAGAAGACAAUCUGUUAUAAACUUAUACUAGCAGUUCUUUUGAGAACUGUAUGAAUUUAUUCAUGAAUUGAAGAUAUAGACAGUGGAAAAUGCUGAGAGCUGUGUUGACUGCAGUUUACAUUAUAUCUGGUGUCCAUAUAUUUUUGGGGAUUCUUAGUGUUUGUCUAGGUGUAGUGUCCAGUAUUCGUUCAGAAGUAUGGCUUGCACACAGUGUGUCUCCAAUAUGGAGUGGAGGGUUUGUAAGUAU
rnacentral:lncRNA from 1 species